GGAUUGGUCUAUGUGCCUGACGUCCUGGAAACAAAAAGGAUGCAGAGUUAGGCAGCACUGCAGAGGGACCUAGUUCAGCUAGUUCAGAGAGUGAUUCACGCUGGGUUUCCCAGAAGUCGACACGGAGAAGAGCUUGUGAGUGAGAGCCAUGUGUUAUGAAGUCUUCUCAGGACAACCCGUCCCUAAUGGAAUCCUCACAGCAUGAGUACGAAGGCAUUUCUGCAGCUGCUGCACCUACCAUCAAAAAAGACGUGAUGCAUUUUGCUGAAUUCAUGACAUUGAUGCAUUUACAUGAACUGACUGCAUAGUGGAAGAGAUGACAAGGACUUUGUCCCAUUUCACAGAUGAAGAAACCAAGGCAGAAUGUCACAGUGCUAGCCGGUAGUGAAAUCAUGACUCACACCCAGAACUGUGAUCUCCAUUUGGUAUUCUCGGCAUUAAAGCUCUCUGAGAGAGAAGGAAGGAAGGAAGGAGGAAGUGACAGUUGUUCUAGGAGGUAGGUGGUGAUGAAAAGAAAUCGCCUCAGGUCUGUUUGUUCACACUUCCUGCCAAAUAGAGGCUGUGUCUCUCAGCACGUAAACAAGGAAACAAACUGCCUCUGGCAGGUCCAGGAUGGAGAUAUCAGCUCAGAAGAGGGACUUGCUGAGAUCUUAUUCUCCUGGAGGGUCACAAGAGGGGUAGAAUUCAUGGAAAUAAAAUUUCUGAGUUACUAAGAGAAGCCAGCCUGAGGCAUGGGCACGAGGGCUAAUUGUCUUUUCAGAGAAGCUGACAUCCCUUUAGCUUUAUUCUCUCCUCUCUUUUCCCCUCCAUUCUCUUCUCUGCUGCUUCUUGAUGUAUGAUCCUGAGUUUUUAAUUAUUCAAGGAGAGAAACUUAAAAGUCAGCAUCCCUAAGAGGCAGGCAAUGCACCGUCAACUUCAUACUAUGGUGUAAGUGACUAAUAGAAACAACUUAUCUCUGAA